rnacentral:rRNA from 1 species
AUGGACUCAGACGACGAGGAGGCGCUCGCCGUGCCGCUGGAGGAGGAAGCCGAUGCUGACGUCCAGGAAGAGGAACAUCUCAUGGUCCUCGCCGCCCUCGCUGGCCUGCUCGCUACCAAUGAAAAGCCGCGGCGAGGUGGCUCGGCGCCGGGGCGGAUGAAAGCAAAGAACCGGCAUCGUAUGGAAGGCUAUUGCAUGCUCUACUCCGACUACUUCGCCGACGCUCUACUGCACGGCGACAAAGUAUUUCGGCGCCGUUAUCGGAUGAGCCGAAAGCUUUUCCUCGGGAUUGUGAAUUCCAUCCGGGAGUUCGACAGCUACUUUAAGUGCAAGAAGGAUUGCACCGGCAAACUUGGAUUCACCUCAAUCCAGAAGUGCACGACAGUGAUGAGUAUGCUUGCAUACGGAGCUCCCGGUGAUUCACUCAGCGACUAUGGGCGCAUGGUCGAGUCCACGACCAUUGAGUGUUUCUACAAGUUCUGCAGGGCAGUGGUGACAGUGUUUGGACCGCAAUACUUGCGAACACCCAAUGCGAAAGACACUGCUCGGAUCCUAGCACAGAAUGCAACAAGAGGAUUUUCUGGGAUGCUUGAAAGCAUCGACUGCAUGCAUUGGAAAUGA